rnacentral:ncRNA from 1 species
UUGCUUGAACCCAGGGGGCAGAGGUUGCGGUGAGCCAAGAUAGUGCCAUUGCACUCCAGCCUGGGUAACAAGAGCGAAACUCCGUCUCAAAAAAAAAAAAAAAAAAACACUCAAAGGACUUGGUGGUGCUUUAUAUCCCUCUGGAGGAGCCUGUUCUAUAAUCAAUAAACCCCGAUACACCUCACCACCUCUUGCCCCAGCCUAUAUACCACCAUCUUCAGCAAACCCUAAAAAGGUCAUAAGUAAGCAUAAGUACAUACAUAAAAAUGUUAGGUCAACAAGCAGUUCAUGAGGUGGCAAGAAAUGGGCUAUACUUUCUAUUUCUAGAAAAUCUCAAAACAGGCUUUAUGAAAUUUAAAGGCUGAAGGAGGAUUUAGCAGUAAACCCAGAACAGAGUGCUUGGUUGAAUAAGGCCAUGAAGCACACACAUACCGCCUUUCACUCUCCUCAAAUAUUCUUCUAGAAAUUAUUAUUCUAAAAACUCUCUACGCACAUAUAGUGGAGAUAAGUCAUAACAUGGUAAGUAUACUGGAAAGUGUGCUUGGACAAACCAAAGC